GGAUGUGGCUCAAGUGGUAGCGCGCGCGCCUGGCCUGCGCACGGCCCUGGGUUCGAUCCUCAGCACCA
rnacentral:tRNA from 1 species